ACUCAAAUGAAUUGACGGGGACCCGCACAACCUGUGGAGCGUGUGGUUCAAUUCGAGACAAAACGAAGGACCUCACCAGGGUUUGACAUGCAAUCGUUUAUUUUCCUGGAAACAGGGAGAAAUCCGCAAGGAUGAUUGCACAGGUGCUGCAUGGCUGUCGUCAGCUCGUGCCGUGAGGUGUUCCCUUAAGUGGGGAAACGAGCGCAACCCCCAUCCAAUGUUAAAUUAUUCAUUGGAAACGGUCCCUGUUUUACAGGGAAGGAAGGAGGGGAAGACGUCAAGUCAGCACGGCCCUUAUACCCUGGGCCACACACACACUACAAUGGCGAACAACAACGGGUUGCAAGCUAGCAAUAGCAAGCUAAUCCCUGAAAUUUCGCCUCAGUUCAGAUUGGGGUCUGAAACCCGACCCCAUGAAGUCGGAAUAGGUAGUAAUCGCGGAUCAGCAAGCCGCGGUGAAUACGUUCUCGGGUCUUGUACACACCGCCCGU
rnacentral:rRNA from 1 species